GUGCCACCACCCGCGGAAAUACGAAGGGGGAAGGCUUUGCCCGAAAUUUUUUGGGGUAAAAGGGGGGCGCAGGCGCCCCCUUAAGGCCUGGAGAGAAAAGCCCCCCGGCUUAACCGUGGGGAGUCAUUGGAAACUGGAGGACUUGAGUACAGAAGAGGAGAGUGGAAUUCCACGUGUAGCGGUGAAAUGCGUAGAGAUGUGGAGGAACACCAGUGGCGAAGGCGACUCUCUGGUCUGUAACUGACGCUGAGGCGCGAAAGCGUGGGGAGCGAACAGGAUUAGAUACCCUGGUAGUCC
rnacentral:rRNA from 1 species